UACGGAGGGUGCGAGCGUUGUCCGGAAUCACUGGGCGUAAAGGGCGCGUAGGCGGUAUGCCAAGCGUGUGGUGAAAGCCCGGGGCUCAACCCCGGGUCGGCCGUGCGGACUGGCGUGCUCGAGCACUGUAGGGGCGGGUGGAAUUCCGGGUGUAGCGGUGGAAUGCGUAGAGAUCCGGAAGAACACCGGUGGCGAAGGCGGCCCGCUGGGCAGGAAGGCUCGCAAGAGCCGGCUGACGCUGAGGCGCGACAGCGUGGGGAGCAAACAGG
rnacentral:rRNA from 1 species